rnacentral:rRNA from 1 species
UACGAAGGGGGCGAGCGUUGUUCGGAUUUACUGGGCGUAAAGGGCGCGUAGGCGGCGGACCAAGUCGAGUGUGAAAGCCCCGGGCUCAACCUGGGAGGUGCGCUCGAGACUGGUCUGCUUGAGUUCGGGAGAGGAGCGUGGAAUUCCCAGUGUAGAGGUGAAAUUCGUAGAUAUUGGGAAGAACACCGGUGGCGAAGGCGGCGCUCUGGACCGGAGACGUGACGCUGAGGCGCGAAAGCGUGGGGAGCAAACAGGG